UGCUGGGUGACUGUGGAGGACUGAAUGUUGUGAUUGGUGUGGGUCUAGGUGGACUGAAUGUUGUGAUUGGUGUGGGUCUAGGUGGACUGAAUGUUGUGAUUGGUGUGGGUCUAGGUGGCUGUUCAUUAGUGUGUGGUUAGGAUGCCGGGUGCCAGAGGCGGAUGGAGGUGAGAAGUGCUGGGAUGGUCGUUGAAAUAAUGUGUCACCUCUUUCUCCUCUUAAUUUCUCGUUCUCCUAUGUGUAUAUUUUUUUUAAAUGUAUUUAUUUAAAUUUAAUUUAAUUUAAUUUAAUUAAAUGUAUUUUGUUUUAUUUUAUUCUAUAUUAUUUGAUUUUAUUUUUGCGCAGUAUGGAGCGUAGACCCUUUUACAUUUCACUACACUUGUUGUAUGUGACAAAUAAAAAUACUUGAACUUGAACUUGAAUAUCUAAUGAUAGACAUAAAGGCUGCAGAGGUGGACAUGGUGGGAGUGAUUCUGGGUGUUAAAGCACAGCUAAGGUAGCCUACAGCUAACUGACAGUGCAAUUGCCCCUAAUAUGUUUCCUUCACUGUCAUUCACUUUUCCCAGGUAACCUACCCAUCUCCUUAUCUCUGUCCUACGGCUAGCUCUUUAAAUCACCAAUUUUUUUUUUUUUUUCUUACAAAUACUGUAACCAUGUAGUUGUUCACAGGUUGUCGCUGAGUUGAGCAUUAAUACAAUCCUUCCAGGGCUUAGUCAUCUACGGUAUUAGUCAUCUGCAGUGGGACCCAAGUUAGAUCCUCUCUGUGGACAGGAAUCUU
ensembl:lncRNA